UAUAGGACUGCAAGGAAACUCGGGAAUUAUUCAUGGUCACACUGGGUCUCAGCCUGUGGAUAAGCACAGGAUUUCAGUGUCCCUGCCCACCGUCGCAGGUUUGAAGAUUGAAGAUUAUGAUCAAUUUAACUUGUAUUCGUUGGCUGCCAAAUAAUUGCACUUUUUUCUCUGUGUAAGCCCCCCAUGUUUUAGUUGUAGUUUGGGAAGAAGGGCUUGUAAGUGGAGAUUAGCAAAGUCCUACUGUACACUUAUGUUCCAUUACUGUUGCUUCCAGGUCUGGAGGCGGCAUUAAGCACGCUGCCUGGCGUGUGUAGUGUCCCCUGCCCCUUGGAUGGAGAUUCUUCACUUCCAACAAGACCGUGGCACUCAGAAGAUUGCCUUCAGGCUUGUGUUUGCCAUCCUCUUCAGUGAUGAAGUCUUUAGCUCCAGCCUCUCUGUGUGCAGAUGACGAGGGCUUUGGACCACCGCCUGGGUGCUGUGGGUGAUGCACACUCCCCCUCGCCGGCAGCAUCUCACCUGCCACAUCGUGCCAGCCUGCUGCCAUGCCAGAGGCGUGCGGCGUGGCUGCCUAAACCAGCCAUCAAGAAACAUCAAUGAGAAGGGCAAACUGCUGUAAGUCCUGGAAGGCGCUGCUCCGCUGGGAAAAGGGCGCUGCUCCUGCAGGCUGCAGGGCUGUCCUCUGCGAGGGACCUUGGGAGCCUCAAAACGGGCUUGGAGCAAACCGUUCUCAUGCCCAGGAAAAUAUGGAAAAGAAAACUGGCAGCUGAGGUGACAAGUCACUGCAAAAGCAAGACAAAUGAAUUCACUGAAACUCUCACUGUGUUUCCCGUAAAUGAGCAGAAGAAAGGUUUGAGUGUUGCCGUGGUAAGUUAAGCUCUUUUUAUCAGUUUGUUCUCUCUUGCCCAAAUCCCUCGGUCACCUUUAACUGGGGGAAGAAGGGCAAAGGAACAGCAGACGUAAGGUACUGGUGGAUGGGAAUGUUAAGUGUUCCCUUUGCUGAGGCCAUCCUUUUCCCAGCUUGUCUUGCUGAGAGGCUGGAAGAGCUUUAGAGCCUUUUCUCCAACAGAGAUGCUUUUCCACCUAGGACUCGCGAUGGCUACGUGGCUCAGCACAGGAACCUGUCCGUGUGGCAGCCCGGUGUGAGCGGAGGCAGACGUCCUCGUUAAUGCCACAACAGAGCCAACCUACCUCUGGCUGGAAGGAAAUCCUAAAGGCAGGGCUUUAGCAAUCCAGAGGAGUCCCCUGUAAGCAGCACCCUGUCGAGGCAGCCGUGGGCAUGGCCACGGUAGGAGUACUGCGUGGUCCAAAGGGGAACGCGGAGGGAGGAAGGCACCCAGGGUUAAGGUGUGUUAAACAUGUGGAAAACUCUCCAGUGGAUUGCACACAACCUUUUGCAACCAAUACAAGUUGAAGAGAAGAAUUCCAAGUGCAAAUCUUCUAACCCUUGUUAAUCUCAGGCACUGCUUAUUUGUUGGAAGCAGUUCCCUCUGACAAUUGAAAUGCUUGGAAUUACAGUGGAUUGGUAACAAAAAAUGACAUGCUCACCAAAGGUAAGAGAUACCAUCUCCAAUUUCAUUAAUGCUGUGCGUUAUCUCUUACUGUUCCUCUUCGGAAAACAAGUUAUAAAAUCUGGGUUCUAACAGGUUUUGCUCAUAAGCAGUGUGGAGGGGCAUUUCACUUCUGUAGCCCACUCUGAGCUGACUUAGCGCUUGUAAGAGACUCUUUGCAGGUUUAAUCCUCUAUGUCUGGGCAGUAAUUGUGACGGUUGUCACAGUGAGUCCCAAACCAGGGGGUGAAGAGGCCAAACGGUCCUGCUUUGUUGAGGUUAUUUGAAUGUUGGGCUUGUCUAUGCUGAAUUGAGCUCAGGCAGUUGGUCUGGUGUAUAGCCUGGUUCUGUGGUAUCAGUGUGCCUGCGGAGAAAGACGUAGUACAAAGAAGUGUUGAAUUGUUCAGGAACCCUUCCUGAUGUAAAGGGCUACUCACUACCUUCUGUGUCACCAAGCGGUUCUUUCAGCCAGCACCUAUGUAUGAAGCAUAAGCAAACGUUCAGGUCUGCUCCUGGAUGUUCCCAGAAACCCAAUGGUUUAGGACUUCCGUUCCAAAAGCAAAAAUACAGGACAAUUCUAAGCCUUGCUCGGAAAUGUACCUGCUUAUCCUCUUUAGCACAUGCCCCAACAUUGGCCUGUGUUAUUUCUUGUAAUAUAAUAGCACAUGCUUUAUUCAAAAGCAAGGAUAUGGUGCAUAAAGCUCUUGAGAACCCUGAGCUAUCGCAUGACUGUGCAAAUGGUUUUCUGCCAUAUCGCUCUGCUUUGCUCUAUUUGAACUGGAAUUUCUUUGCGGGGUCAAUGCUUAUCUGUAACAGGCAGCCUGAUAGGCUGCAUGAAGAGCAAAUGAUGCCUGUCAGACCAGAAAGCACACCAGUUCUUCCUUCCUGAUGGGGAGCACACAAUCACAGCGAGCCUCUGGACAGUCUCAGAAAGGUUAGGACACCAACGGGGGAUCUGUUUUUGAAGUCGGCAGAACAGGACUGUUGGGAAAGUGUCACACUAGGACACUGAUAUAAAGAAGAAAUCUUUUGAAAAGCACUGGCUUCAUGCCCAACCAUUAUGGAGAAAUUUCCGUAGAGUAGCUGUGUGGACCUUGGUAAUGUGAGCAAGGAGAUAUAUGGUGAUGCCACUCUUAAGUACAAAGAACAUAUCUAAAAGGCUGGGUCGGGGUACAGAGGUCAAAGGCAUUAUGAAAGGACCCACUGACCAUAUCACAGUCACUUUAAAAAGUGAAAUAAUGCUUAGCUUGAGAAGUUGCGGAAGAGCCCCAGUUUCAAGUCCAUAUUUUCAGUCAUGUGCUGUUGAAUCCUGUGACGGCAAAAUAAAAUGAGCACUAAAUAUUUUGCUCAAAAAGUGGUUUAAGAACAACCCUCCAGCUUUUUAGCCAGCAUCCUCAGUAUGAUGCAUGUUUGCACUUCUCUAAGGAAAAACUGUGAUUGCUUGAAAUAAGUUCUUCUACUUCUUCUAAAGCACAGCUUGAUUUGACACUUGAGACAGAAGUUCUCUGUCCAGUCUGGCGAUGCGGCAUUGCCCCACGGGACAUCAGGCUUAUUACUUCAGGGUCCCUACAACAGAAUUGCCAACAACCAAACUGCCAUCUAAACAGUUCUUAGGACUGGCAAGUAAGCACCACGCAGCCACUCGCUGUGCCCCAGUGGAAUGGGGGAGAGAAUGGGAAGGAUAAAAGUGCAAAAACUCGUGGGCUGGGAUAAGGACAGUUCAACGGGCAAAGCCAAAGCGGCGUGCCCAAGCAGAGCCACCCGAGGAAUCCCUUCCCCCUGCCACGGCAGGCAGGGGCUCAGCCCCCCCAGGGCAGCAGGGCUCAGCACGCGGGACGGGGCUGGGGAAGGCAAACGCCAUCGCUCCCAGCGUGUCCCCCCUCCUGCUUGCCCAGCUUUAUGUGCGGAGCGUGGUGUUACAUGGUCUGGGAUAUCCCCUUGGGCAGCGGGGGGCAGCUGUCCCGGCCGUGCCCCCCAGCCAGCUCGCUGCUUGGAAGUAAGGAGCAAUAACAAAAGCUUCCCUGUGUUACUAACACUGUUUCCAGCACAAAUCCAAAACGUAGCCCUGUAUUAGCUGCUAUGAAGAAAAUUAACUCUACCCCAGCCAAAACCAGCUCAAGCCCACAAACUGCAUCAGAAGCAGGUAGGUGACAUCAAGGGAGACGCAGAAGCAGCUGCUGCUGAAGGAGGUGCAGCAAAAGACAUCAGUGAUUCAAUGACGCUCAUCGAAAUGAAUAGUCUGUAAAUCUGUACUCGUGCAGUACCUGUUGCAGACAAACAAGGUGGCACGUGGGCAGCAAAAGAAGCAAGGACAAUAGCUGAGGCUCUUGGGCUCGGUAAAGAGGCUGGGCUCCAAGAGAAACGUGCCAUUCGGUAACUACUUGCACUCAACUAACCCCAUUACAUUAUAAGCAAAAAAAAAAAAAAAAAAAAAUUAAAUUCAAGUAAAAGCCAGGGAAAGCCCUAGGGAAAGUUCCGAGUUAAAAUGCUGAAAGCUUGUAAUGAGUCCUUUGAUUUUAGAAGUUGUACACAGCUCCAGCAAACCCUGGGCCUGUGAAGCGUGUCCUGACAAAAUAGAAUAAAAUGCAGGUUUUGCCCUUAGGCAAAAGAAAAAUAAAUAGGAAGUUGAAUUGAUUUCUAGCAAAUGUAACAAAUCUACGUAACUUGUAUCUGAAUUAUCAGAAAAGGGAGGAAAAUAUUCAGGCCCUGCCUUCAGAAAUAUAGGAGUGCUUAAUUAGAUGGCUGGGAUGAACAUUAGCGACUCUGCACCGCCUGCCGGGAGGGAUUACCGCACCGCUGUCUGCACGACCACCACGGGGAUGCCAGGCUCUGCCUGAACAACCACAGCCUCAUUUUGCAUGUAGAGAGUGAACGGAAGUUUUCCAGGCCAGUCAAAGUGCAAAUAAGUGUGAUUCAUCAUAGCAGGUGGAUAGCGUAUCAAUAGAAUAUCAGGUUGAUAUCGUAUCAAUACAAUAUCAGGUGGAUAUUGUAUCAAUAUAAUAUCAGGUGGAUAUUGUAUCAAUAUAAUAUUAGGUGGAUAUCGUAUCAAUAUAAUAUCAUGUAGAAAUCCAUAUCAUAUCAGGUAAAUAUAUAAAUAUAAUAUCAGGUAGAUUUCGUAUCAAUAUAGUAUCAGGUGGAUAUCAAUAUACUAUCAGGUAGAUAUCAUAUCAAUAUACUAUCAGGUGGAUAUCGUAUCAAUAUAAUAUUUUAUUUUCCCUAAUGUAGCAACAAGCCAAAUGUGACUUUGUGGUUUGGAAUCUGGAGUGUUAGAUUUCAGCCAUAAUACACUGACAUUAAAUCUGUACAUAAAUGCCAUUUAAGGACAAGAAGCAGGUAGACUUUGCUGGCGUAGCUUUCUGGUAAACAGAAUGAAUUUUCAGAUCUCUGAGGAGCAUGGUGUAAUAACUGAUAAAUGAGAGGCUGAAUUAUUCAAGUGCCAUUUUUUACCGUAAUGUGCAUCAUCAGAUUUUUUAUUCUUGUCUUUGAACAAAGAGGUGAGGCAAGGGAGCUGGGACCAAAAAGCUGCAACUGCCGUGGCACUAACAAGAAGUGCUUUCACUUUUGGUUUUCUCUGGACAUGGGCAGUUAAAAAGGUGGUAUUCGUUUUGCGAAAUAUUAACUAGAUUACUUCAGAUGUGCUUCUCAUUUAAUUAAAAUUUCUAGCUGGGGGUAGGUCAGAACAUCGUCUCAUCGAUGCUGAGGCAAGAAGCAGGUAUAAACUGAUUUAUUGCUGUAAUUCUGUGCCUGCCUUGGUCCAUCCGUUUCCCGAAGUCAUAUGGCAGCCGAACUGCACCUAAUGGUGAGUUGCUGGAGGGGAUUUUUGAUCUCAAAACUCCACGGAUUGUGAUCAGGAAUUCCACCAUGCUGUUGCUUGUGUAGCAGCAGAUUUACACAACAGCAACAACAAAAUACACUUGUUGAUCUAAACCACUCCUCCUUAGGCUGUUCGGGGCUGGAGGGUAAGCCAGCCAGAAGUGCUCGGUACACCAGCAACAACUGGAGCCUGACUGGUUUCACCUGGCAGCACGGGACAGCAAAUGCCACGAGCACCAGGCACCUGUGACACAGGUUGGUGUGAGGGAACGUUCAAGCCCACUUCUGAGGACAGGGCACUGGUAGCAUCUCAGCGUGGAGGCAUCUGCUAAAGCUCCUUCUUGCUAUGAAAUUUGCCAUUGUAGGUGUCCAAACCAGGUGAUUAGUCUUGGAGGAAGAUCAGGGAUAUCAGAAGAAUUAAAUGUAGCGCUUGAAAACCCGCUGUGCCGGGCUGUUGCGUCGCUGUUGGGGCUCUGUGUGGGUGUGCAGCCCAGCACAUGGAACGUGGCAUUCUGCACAACAGGAGGGAGAAGGGUACCUGGGCUGGGUGAUGUCCUCCUGCUGCUGCAGUGCGUGUGCAUGCUUAAGCACGUGUCACCGCAUCACCUGACAGUCAGCUGAGGUCAAGGGGCUUGCUUUUUAAACAUGGUGUUGCUGCUUAUGUGGUUUAAAGCUUAAGUUUCCUUUCUUAAUCUAUCCAAGAAUUUACUAAUUAUAUCUUACAGUUGACAUGUCAUGUUUUCCCACUGAAACCUGAAAUACAAAAUUUUGAGUCAGCAGGACUUGUUUAUGGUGUUUGUAUGAAUUAUCUUUACACCACAAGGGUCUCUGGUCCCCUUUGGGUACUGUAAAGAAAUGAGCAACAUGGAGAGAUUUGUGUAGGACUUCAUGGAAUUCACUUGUGAUCAUUACUCUGGGGUUCUACAAUCAUUUCUCCCAGUCGUCUAUACCAUCGUGGUUGACGAGCGUGCUAACAAAUGGCUAUCACCAAGCCUGAACAAGCUGGACCCGCUCUUUGGAUGACAGAAUCUGAACUGCCUGCCUGAGGCGUAGCACGGGGUGCUUGACUUCAGCUUCUCCUUCAUGUUGUUGCCGUGGAAUCACCCUUGUGCAAAUCGGAAACCUCUGACUUGACGUUAGGGACGUGGCGUAGCUUUGCAGCGCAGCGGUGAGUGGCAGAACAGCUUUGCUGUGUGACCACAAACAAUUUUUUUUUGCUUGAUAACUUUAUCCCUACUGUUGUGUCUUCAUGAUAACAUUUGUCCGUAUCUCCUGUUGGAACACAGUGUGCUCACAUAAUGAUAACACAUACCACUAUUUAAAAGUAUAUUAACUGAUAUAUAUAGUAUAUCAUAAGUAUAUAUACUAUAUUUAUAUAGUACAUACCAUAAGUAUAUAUGAGAGAGGAUUAUAUCAUGCGCCGGUCUUCUUGGUGGGUUGGAACAGAUCGAGCUUCUUAGUAGAAGAAGCUACUAGUGUUCUCUCGUCCUAAUUCCAUAGCGUUUUUAGAGCUGAUAUCCAACUGCAGCCCAAACAGACAGAAUAAUUAUCCAAAAAGCUAAGCCUGAUCUUUCAUCAUGAUAACGAUCACACUGCUUUCCAUUAAGGAAAUAAUGUUAUUCAGGAGGUGACUAAAUGCCAGCCUCUCUGAUAGCGUAGCAGACCCCUGUGAUCUUGAACCUACUUUUGCUUUGCGCAUCACCCUCCACCUACACUAGCGUUUCUGCAAGUAGCAAUCCUGAAUAGUACUGUAGAUUGGAAAACUGAUUUAUAUUUUAGCACUUUUAAAAGAUGUUCAUUUAAAAUGGAAGGAGAAAAAAAAAUAUCUCUACUGAUUUAAGAUGUUGGAUAACAUAUCCCUCCAUGCCUUUAGCAAGAUGAUGUCUAGCAGUGAACUCACCAACGCUGAUUGAUCACACAGACACCCAGCAAUUGUGAACGGCUAAUUAACCCUUCAGUUAAGCAUUUCUAAUCAGACAAAACAACCUGAUUAUAGGUACUACAUCCUGAGAGUACAGGGGCUGCAUGGUAGUCCAGUGAGCCCCUAAUGAGCUAAAUCACUUUAUUUUAGGAGAGAACAUACAAGAGUAACCAGCUGGCUGUAUUUGCAGCAUUGACUGCGAAGAAACUGAAGAGAUCUGGUGAAGCACAAGCUUGCAUUGUGACCCAAGGGGUAAAUAAGCAAUAUAAAUAUGGCUAUGAUUUUUUAGGUAUGUGUACGUAUGUGUGUGUAUGUAUAUAUGUGUAUAUAUACACACACACACACAUAUAUAUAUACACACACACAUAUGUGUGUAUAUAUAUAUAUAUAUAUGUAUCACGUCUGAUAUAUAAAGAACUGGAAGCUAGCCACUUGGUAGCUGUGAAUUCUUGCCCAGUUAGCAAUGCAAACACUUAAUAGGGUUGUUAAUGUUUGAUUAAUCGUUAUUAUAUAGACUCACAGUGCCAUCUAGAGACCGCGUCCAGAUUUUGAACAGCUUUCAGACCUGAUGUUAGAGGAACAGAGAAGUCUUUAUUGUCAUACUGAAGGUUUCAUACGUUACUCCCGGAGCUCGCUGCCUUUCACAGAAACAAUGCCUUGCUUUGUGGUUAUUAGUAUUAUUCCGUUUUGAACAUGGGCUUAUCGAGUGACAAGCCUUUGUGGGUGUUUCUUUUUGCAACCUGAUCUUAAAUAUGAAAAUGUGAAGAAGACUGGGGACUGGUGGAAGUGGGCUUAAACAAAACUAACCCUGACAAUCAAGCCCAAUCCCUGAUGUGACCUGAACUGCAGCUGUGUUGUUACACUCCAGAAGGCACCAUGCUCUUGCAAGAUAAUCCUUGUGAACUUCCAGGCUAAUGCAGGUGGCACGUGUUUUCCCGUGCUGAGUUUAUUGGGAUGGGGGUAAGGCUCAGAUGGGCAGUGCUUUGUAUUUCCAGCCUUUCUGGUGAGGCUUGUACUGGGCAGCCUGCCUGCUCGCUGCUGGCCAACAUGCUGUUUUCAAGCACACAGCUUCACAGCCGUUGCGAGAAAGGGGAUGCUGCAGGCACAGCCGAGCAAGCCUCUGGGGAGCCUUACUUCUGCUCUGUGCUGUAGGGAAAAAAUACUUGGCAAAAGCCACUUAUCAGAAGGACCAAGGUAAACAAUCUGGGAUGAGCAAUGGAGAGAAAUAACACAUUUUUUAAAAAUUUUACUGAUUUUUUUUAUAAAUAUUAAAAAAUGGUUUUUUAUUAAACCCAAGAGACCUAAUUAAUGUCCUGUAAUGACAAGAAACCAGUCUGAAUUUUCCUGAAGCAUGAGUUGAGAUCUGCCACGGUAAACAGUCACAGCUGUGUCAGAAAGUUUGGGAUUCAGGUGGCCCCAGGGUGAAGAGCCAGCGCCAGGAGCUGGGUGGCACGGCAAUGUAGAUCUUCCAUGGCCAUAGCUUGUGUCCUUCAGUCAGGCAUCCAAAAUCCGUUGGGUUAUGUCUCUUGUCUCUGCAGAGAAGGUACAAAUGUUUCAUUUAACCCCCAAAAGGACACUCAGGACCCACAGAGGUGCUGUCAUUUGUGCUUAUCCUUCCCGUUCUUGGCACUUUGAUAGAGAAGGGAGAGGAAGGUUUGAAAGCCUGGGAAGCUGUAUAGAUUAUUUAGGGAAGUCCAGCUAUUCCACUGUACUGGAAAUCCCACGCUCAGCCCUUCUCAGUGCCCGUACAGCAUAUCAAAGCUGAGAUGACAGCUACUCCCAGCCCUCCCAGUUUUUUACUUUACACUGGAUGCUUGAAUAUAUGUGUUGUCUUUGUGUACUGUGCAAGCUUAAAAGCUUCUUUUCUUCCCUUUAAAGUAGAGUGUAAAUGGGGAUCGGGUAGCCAAAUGAUAACAAUAAAAUACUGUGUGGGUUGAAAAAAGAAAAAUCACUGGCAGGCAACACUUGGUCUACCUGGACCCUCAUGCCUCCCAAAAGCACGUCUCUACAUCUUCUUGAACAAAUUGCUCUUCCCUUGGCAGAGGGAGACUCUGCUUCUUGUUGCUCCAGGGAUGAGCAUGUGAGGGUGUUUAGCUAUCACAACCUGGUCUCACUAUGUUGUUUUUGUCCCAUGAAAGGUUUUUUCUCUUCUGGAAAUGAAGGCAGAAUGGUGCGAGGAGCUUGGUGACUACCCCAGCCGAC